AUGGCGGCGGUGGCGAUGGACAUCGCGAAGCCCUCGGCGCUGCCGGCGAGCGUCGACGACCCGUCGGCGGCGUCGGCCAAGGGCAGGGCCGGCGGCGGGGAGGGCCUGCGCCAGUACUACCUGCAGCACAUCCACGACCUGCAGCUCCAGAUCCGGACCAAGACGCACAACCUCAACCGCCUCGAGGCCCAGCGCAACGACCUCAACUCGCGAGUUAGAAUGCUCCGGGAAGAGUUGCAGCUCCUUCAAGAACCGGGCUCAUAUGUUGGCGAGGUUGUGAAGGUUAUGGGCAAGUCAAAGGUUCUAGUCAAGGUUCAUCCAGAAGGCAAAUAUGUUGUAGAUCUUGAUAAAAGUAUUGAUAUUACAAAGAUAACCCCUUCAACAAGAGUUGCUCUUCGGAACGACAGCUACAUGCUUCACCUUAUCCUGCCCAGCAAGGUCGAUCCACUGGUUAAUCUUAUGAAGGUGGAGAAGGUUCCUGACUCUACCUAUGAUAUGAUUGGUGGUCUUGAUCAGCAAAUUAAAGAGAUCAAGGAGGUGAUUGAGCUUCCCAUUAAGCAUCCUGAGCUGUUUGAGAGUCUCGGAAUUGCCCAACCAAAGGGUGUGCUCCUUUACGGGCCUCCAGGUACAGGGAAAACAUUACUUGCUCGUGCAGUUGCUCAUCACACCGACUGCACCUUCAUCAGGGUCUCAGGUUCUGAGUUGGUUCAAAAGUAUAUUGGAGAGGGGUCCAGGAUGGUUCGUGAACUCUUUGUGAUGGCUAGGGAGCAUGCACCAUCCAUUAUAUUUAUGGAUGAAAUAGACUCUAUUGGAUCUGCUAGAAUGGAGUCGGGCUCCGGCAACGGUGAUAGCGAGGUUCAGCGUACUAUGCUUGAGCUUCUGAACCAACUUGAUGGUUUUGAAGCAUCGAACAAAAUUAAGGUUCUUAUGGCAACUAAUAGGAUAGACAUAUUGGAUCAAGCUCUUCUGAGGCCUGGUCGUAUCGAUAGGAAGAUCGAAUUUCCAAAUCCUAAUGCAGAUUCCCGUGGUGAUAUUUUGAAGAUUCACUCGAGGAAAAUGAACUUGAUGCGUGGCAUUGAUCUGAAAAAAAUUGCCGAGAAGAUGAACGGAGCAUCAGGAGCAGAGCUAAAGGCGGUCUGCACAGAAGCUGGAAUGUUUGCCCUCCGCGAGAGAAGGGUGCACGUCACCCAGGAGGAUUUCGAGAUGGCCGUGGCCAAGGUGAUGAAGAAGGAUACCGAGAAGAACAUGUCGCUGCGGAAGCUAUGGAAGUGA
rnacentral:rRNA from 1 species